GAGAGGCUCGCGGCCUAUCAGCUAGUUGGCGGGGUCACGGCCCACCAAGGCGACGACGGGUAGCUGGUCUGAGAGGAUGGCCAGCCACAUUGGGACUGAGACACGGCCCAGACUCCUACGGGAGGCAGCAGUGGGGAAUAUUGCGCAAUGGCCGCAAGGCUGACGCAGCGACGCCGCGUGUGGGAUGACGGCCUUCGGGUUGUAAACCACUGUCGGGGGGGACGAAUACGGGGCCUCGAAUAGGGGACCCUGGGUGACGGUACCUCCAAAGGAAGCACCGGCUAACUCCGUGCCAGCAGCCGCGGUAAUACGGAGGGUGCGAGCGUUGUCCGGAAUCACUGGGCGUAAAGGGCGCGUAGGCGGCCCAUUAAGUUGCCGGUGAAAUCCCGCGGCUCAACUGCGGGGCUGCCGGUAAGACUGGCGGGCUCGAGCACGGUAGAGGCAGAUGGAAUUCCCGGUGUAGCGGUGGAAUGCGUAGAGAUCGGGAAG
rnacentral:rRNA from 1 species